rnacentral:misc_RNA from 1 species
AAUUCUCAAACUGAUGAUGGUUUUAUUACUGUCUUUUCAGUUUGGAUCUGAGGGCUUUUGUCGGACUCUAACGAGGUCGACUCCCUUUAAAAGCAUUAGCGGAUUUGACCAUCGCGGAUACGCCUCGAUUUGAUAAUAUCUAUGUCGUCGCGCUGAAGCGGUAAUCUGCUCCUAAUCGUCUUCGGACAAUUUACUUUGACA